rnacentral:rRNA from 1 species
CAGGCUUAACACAUGCAAGUCGAGGGGCAUCAGGAAGAAAGCUUGCUUUCUUUGCUGGCGACCGGCGCACGGGUGAGUAACACGUAUCCAACCUGCCCUUUACUCGGGGAUAGCCUUUCGAAAGAAAGAUUAAUACCCGAUGGCAUAAUGAUUCCGCAUGGUUUCAUUAUUAAAGGAUUCCGGUAAAGGAUGGGGAUGCGUUCCAUUAGGUUGUUGGUGAGGUAACGGCUCACCAAGCCUUCGAUGGAUAGGGGUUCUGAGAGGAAGGUCCCCCACAUUGGAACUGAGACACGGUCCAAACUCCUACGGGAGGCAGCAGUGAGGAAUAUUGGUCAAUGGGCGCUAGCCUGAACCAGCCAAGUAGCGUGAAGGAUGAAGGCUCUAUGGGUCGUAAACUUCUUUUAUAUAAGAAUAAAGUGCAGUAUGUAUACUGUUUUGUAUGUAUUAUAUGAAUAAGGAUCGGCUAACUCCGUGCCAGCAGCCGCGGUAAUACGGAGGAUCCGAGCGUUAUCCGGAUUUAUUGGGUUUAAAGGGAGCGUACGUGGACUGGUAAGUCAGUUGUGAAAGUUUGCGGCUCAACCGUAAAAUUGCAGUUGAUACUGUCAGUCUUGAGUACAGUAGAGGUGGGCGGAAUUCGUGGUGUAGCGGUGAAAUGCUUAGAUAUCACGAAGAACUCCGAUUGCGAAGGCAGCUCACUGGACUGCAACUGACACUGAUGCUCGAAAGUGUGGGUAUCAAACAGGAUUAGAUACCCUGGUAGUCCACACAGUAAACGAUGAAUACUCGCUGUUUGCGAUAUACAGUAAGCGGCCAAGCGAAAGCAUUAAGUAUUCCACCUGGGGAGUACGCCGGCAACGGUGAAACUCAAAGGAAUUGACGGGGGCCCGCACAAGCGGAGGAACAUGUGGUUUAAUUCGAUGAUACGCGAGGAACCUUACCCGGGCUUAAAUUGCAGUGGAAUGAUGUGGAAACAUGUCAGUGAGCAAUCACCGCUGUGAAGGUGCUGCAUGGUUGUCGUCAGCUCGUGCCGUGAGGUGUCGGCUUAAGUGCCAUAACGAGCGCAACCCUUAUCUUUAGUUACUAACAGGUUAUGCUGAGGACUCUAGAGAGACUGCCGUCGUAAGAUGUGAGGAAGGUGGGGAUGACGUCAAAUCAGCACGGCCCUUACGUCCGGGGCUACACACGUGUUACAAUGGGGGGUACAGAAGGCAGCUAGCGGGUGACCGUAUGCUAAUCCCAAAAGCCUCUCUCAGUUCGGAUCGAAGUCUGCAACCCGACUUCGUGAAGCUGGAUUCGCUAGUAAUCGCGCAUCAGCCACGGCGCGGUGAAUACGUUCCCGGGCCUUGUACACACCGCCCGUCAAGCCAUGGGAGCCGGGGGUACCUGAAGUACGUAACCGCAAGGAUCGUCCUAGGGUAAAACUGGUGACUGGG